CGGGCUGUAGCUCAGCUUGGUAGAGCGCUUGGUUCGGGACCAAGAGGUCGCAGGUUCGAAUCCUGUCAGCCCGA
rnacentral:tRNA from 2 species